UAAUACGAGGGGGGCAAGCGUUGUCCGGAUUUAUUGGGCGUAAAGAGUUCGUAGGCGGAUUAAUAAGUCGAUAUUGAAAUACAAUGGCUUAACCAUUGAAGUAGUAUGGAAACUAUUAAUCUUGAGUUAUGUAGAGGUAAGUGGAAUUUCUGGUGUAGCGGUGAAAUGCGUAGAUAUCAGAAGGAACACCAAAGGCGAAGGCAACUUACUGGGCAUUAACUGACGCUGAGGAACGAAAGCGUGGGUAGCAAACAGGAUUAGAGACCCUGGUAGUCCACGCCGUAAACGAUGAGUACUUGGUGGUGGGAGAUUCGACCCUUUCACUGCUGGAGUUAACGCAUUAAGUACUCCGCCUGGGGAUUACGACCGCAAGGUUG
rnacentral:rRNA from 1 species